UCAGAGUGGGCUCCCGGAAAGAUCUC
rnacentral:piRNA from 1 species